rnacentral:rRNA from 1 species
GAACGUUAAGCUGUCGUGGCUCGCGUUGGGCAAUUGGGAGACGGUGCUUGUCCUGAUUGAUUUUGGACGCCAACGAGUGGAGGACGGGUGAGUAACACGUAGGUAACCUGCCCAGAAGCGGGGGACAACAUUUGGAAACAGAUGCUAAUACCGCAUAACAACGUUGUUCGCAUGAACAACGCUUAAAAGAUGGCUUCUCGCUAUCACUUCUGGAUGGACCUGCGGUGCAUUAGCUUGUUGGUGGGGUAACGGCCUACCAAGGCGAUGAUGCAUAGCCGAGUUGAGAGACUGAUCGGCCACAAUGGGACUGAGACACGGCCCAUACUCCUACGGGAGGCAGCAGUAGGGAAUCUUCCACAAUGGGCGCAAGCCUGAUGGAGCAACACCGCGUGAGUGAAGAAGGGUUUCGGCUCGUAAAGCUCUGUUGUUAAAGAAGAACACGUAUGAGAGUAACUGUUCAUACGUUGACGGUAUUUAACCAGAAAGUCACGGCUAACUACGUGCCAGCAGCCGCGGUAAUACGUAGGUGGCAAGCGUUAUCCGGAUUUAUUGGGCGUAAAGAGAGUGCAGGCGGUUUUCUAAGUCUGAUGUGAAAGCCUUCGGCUUAACCGGAGAAGUGCAUCGGAAACUGGAUAACUUGAGUGCAGAAGAGGGUAGUGGAACUCCAUGUGUAGCGGUGGAAUGCGUAGAUAUAUGGAAGAACACCAGUGGCGAAGGCGGCUACCUGGUCUGCAACUGACGCUGAGACUCGAAAGCAUGGGUAGCGAACAGGAUUAGAUACCCUGGUAGUCCAUGCCGUAAACGAUGAGUGCUAGGUGUUGGAGGGUUUCCGCCCUUCAGUGCCGGAGCUAACGCAUUAAGCACUCCGCCUGGGGAGUACGACCGCAAGGUUGAAACUCAAAGGAAUUGACGGGGGCCCGCACAAAGCGGUGGAAGCAUGUGGUGUAAUUCGAAAGCUACGCGAAGAACCUUAC